rnacentral:rRNA from 1 species
GGCUUAGAGUUUGAUCAUGGCUCAGGACGAACGCUGGCGGCGUGCUUAACACAUGCAAGUCGAACGGGGUGUUUAUUUCGGUAAACACCAAGUGGCGAACGGGUGAGUAACGCGUAAGCAAUCUACCUUCAAGAUGGGGACAACACUUCGAAAGGGGUGCUAAUACCGAAUGAAUGUAAGAGUAUCGCAUGAGACACUUACUAAAGGAGGCCUCUGAAUAUGCUUCCGCUUGAAGAUGAGCUUGCGUCUGAUUAGCUAGUUGGUGAGGGUAAAGGCCCACCAAGGCGACGAUCAGUAGCCGGUCUGAGAGGAUGAACGGCCACAUUGGGACUGAGACACGGCCCAGACUCCUACGGGAGGCAGCAGUGGGGAAUCUUCCGCAAUGGGCGAAAGCCUGACGGAGCAACGCCGCGUGAACGAUGAAGGUCUUAGGAUCGUAAAGUUCUGUUGUUAGGGACGAAGGGUAAGAAUCAUAAUAAGGUUUUUAUUUGACGGUACCUAACGAGGAAGCCACGGCUAACUACGUGCCAGCAGCCGCGGUAAUACGUAGGCGGCAAGCGUUGUCCGGAAUUAUUGGGCGUAAAGGGAGCGCAGGCGGGAAACUAAGCGGAUCUUAAAAGUGCGGGGCUCAACCCCGUGAUGGGGUCCGAACUGGUUUUCUUGAGUGCAGGAGAGGAAAGCGGAAUUUCUCAGUGUAGCGGUGAAAUGCGUAGAUAUUGGGAAGAACACCAGUGGCGAAGCGGCUUUCUGGACUGUAACUGACGCUGAGCUCGAAAGCUAGGGUAGCGAACGGGAUUAGAUACCCCGGUAGUCCUAGCCGUAAACGAUGGAUACUAGUGUGGGAGUAUCGACCCUUNGUGNNGAGU